GACGUAGGGCGCGAGCGUUGUCCGGAUUUAUUGGGCGUAAAGAGCUCGUAGGCGGCUUGUCGCGUCGACCGUGAAAACUUGGGGCUCAACCCCAAGCCUGCGGUCGAUACGGGCAGGCUCGAGUUCGGUAGGGGAGACUGGAAUUCCUGGUGUAGCGGUGAAAUGCGCAGAUAUCAGGAGGAACACCGAUGGCGAAGGCAGGUCUCUGGGCCGAUACUGACGCUGAGGAGCGAAAGCGUGGAGAGCGAACAGG
rnacentral:rRNA from 1 species